rnacentral:rRNA from 1 species
ACAUGCAAGUCGAGCGGACAGAUGGGAGCUUGCUCCCUGAUGUUAGCGGCGGACGGGUGAGUAACACGUGGGUAACCUGCCUGUAAGACUGGGAUAACUCCGGGAAACCGGGGCUAAUACCGGAUGGUUGUUUGAACCGCAUGGUUCAGACAUAAAAGGUGGCUUCGGCUACCACUUACAGAUGGACCCGCGGCGCAUUAGCUAGUUGGUGAGGUAACGGCUCACCAAGGCAACGAUGCGUAGCCGACCUGAGAGGGUGAUCGGCCACACUGGGACUGAGACACGGCCCAGACUCCUACGGGAGGCAGCAGUAGGGAAUCUUCCGCAAUGGACGAAAGUCUGACGGAGCAACGCCGCGUGAGUGAUGAAGGUUUUCGGAUCGUAAAGCUCUGUUGUUAGGGAAGAACAAGUGCCGUUCAAAUAGGGCGGCACCUUGACGGUACCUAACCAGAAAGCCACGGCUAACUACGUGCCAGCAGCCGCGGUAAUACGUAGGUGGCAAGCGUUGUCCGGAAUUAUUGGGCGUAAAGGGCUCGCAGGCGGUUUCUUAAGUCUGAUGUGAAAGCCCCCGGCUCAACCGGGGAGGGUCAUUGGAAACUGGGGAACUUGAGUGCAGAAGAGGAGAGUGGAAUUCCACGUGUAGCGGUGAAAUGCGUAGAGAUGUGGAGGAACACCAGUGGCGAAGGCGACUCUCUGGUCUGUAACUGACGCUGAGGAGCGAAAGCGUGGGGAGCGAACAGGAUUAGAUACCCUGGUAGUCCACGCCGUAAACGAUGAGUGCUAAGUGUUAGGGGGUUUCC